AUUGAACGCUGGCGGCAUGCUUUACACAUGCAAGUCGAACGGUAGCGCGGAGAAGCUUGCUUCUCUGUCGGCGAGUGGCGAACGGGUGAGUAUAGCAUCGGAACGUGCCAAGUAGUGGGGGAUAACCAAACGAAAGUUUGGCUAAUACCGCGUAAGCUCUAAGGAGGAAAGUAGGGGACCUAAAUAAGGCCUUACGCUAUUUGAUCGGCCGAUGUCGGAUUAGCUAGUUGGUGGGGUAAUGGCUCACCAAGGCAAUGAUCCGUAGCGGGUCUGAGAGGACGAUCCGCCACACUGGGACUGAGACACGGCCCAGACUCCUACGGGAGGCAGCAGUGGGGAAUUUUGGACAAUGGGGGAAACCCUGAUCCAGCCAUGCCGCGUGUAUGAAGAAGGCCUUAGGGUUGUAAAGUACUUUUGUUAGGGAAGAAAAGCUAGUUUUUAAUAAAAAGUAGUGAUGACGGUACCUAAAGAAUAAGCACCGGCUAACUACGUG
rnacentral:rRNA from 1 species